rnacentral:rRNA from 3 species
UUUGGUGGCGAUAGCGAAGAGGUCACACCCGUUCCCAUGCCGAACACGGAAGUUAAGCUCUUCAGCGCCGAUGGUAGUCGGGGGUUUCCCCCUGUGAGAGUAGGACGCCGCCAA